AUAGGUACUGCUGAAAAGUUUUUAUUUCCAAUUUUAUAGUAGGUACCUACUGUUUCGUAAUGAAAUUCAAUUCAGAGUAUUCAUAAGUCUGCUGGAUCAAUUGCAGUCACAUAAUAAGAUAAAGCAAUUCAACCUAAAAUCAUCAAAAUCUGCUUAAAAUCAAUCUCCUUUGAAGACCCAAACAAAUCGUACCAGAUCACCAAUCAAGGGAUAAAAAUAGUGGAGAAAAAAUGAAAUCAGAAAAAAUUCACCAAAAUCGAUCCAGCCCAGGUAAAAAAAACACAUAUAAACAUCGAUUAUUCAUAGGAGAAGGUGAUUUCAGCUACACCGAGGCAUUGAUCAACAAACACAUCGAUAAGCAUCCACAACUUGCCCGAGCCAUUGUGGCCACUGAACUUGCAGAAGCACCAGCGUGGGAUGUUGAACCUGAAAUAAUGAAACAAAGAGCCACAAGAAUUGAUUCUCUGAAAGAAAAAGGCGUAAAAGUUCUAUUCGGAGUUGACGCCACAAAACUCCAUACAAAUCCUUCGCUCAAAAGCGAAAGAUUCAAACGAAUACACUGGAAUUGUCCUUGGCGGGCAUUCACGGAAGAAGAGAGAGAACUAUGCGUACAAAUGAUCGCAGAUUUUUUCUAUUCGUGUGAAAAAAUCCAAUUGAAAGGCGAUCGAAUUCAUAUCACAAUAAUGCAAGGAAUCGAAGAAGAGGAGUGGCGAGAUCGUCGUCAGUAUAAACAAAACUUAGUUAAAGGGUCCAUGCAAGCUGGCUACAAGUUGAUAAGAAAGAGACAUUUUGGAGCUGAUCGAUAUCCUGGUUAUACACAUAGAAGAGGAGUAAAUCUGGAAAAACUCAAUGAUCCGGGUGUACAUAGAGAAUUUAUAUUCGAGAAAGAUCCACUUCUUUCGAUUAUUGUGAACUCGGUUCCUUUGAAAUUGUCCAACGAUAAGAAAACUUAUCGUAUUGAACUCAAUAGGAAAAAUGUCAGUAGUAAGUUUACACCGGAUCUUCGGGAUUGUUAUUUUGUCUGUAGUACAGAUGAUGAUUCUUCGGAUUAUUGCUCGUCUGAUGAUGAGUGAGGACUGAAGAAUUGAUAAGUAUAUAUAUUCGUUGAAAAUAAAAAUAAUGUUACAUA